rnacentral:lncRNA from 10 species
AAAGACAUUCAUCAUACUGUGGGCUAGCCUGAACCAGCCACUCUGGAGAGACCACUUGUCAAGGCACAAUGGAUACGAACUGAAUCUCAACAACCAGCAUCAACCAUCAAAAGAUAUGCAAGGCACUUAUGCCACCAAGGACUGGAUGUUUUGCCUAAUAAAUGAAGACUGCUUCCAACCAGAUAAGGACAUAGCGAAGCACACUCCUCCACUAUCAGUCCUCACCAGAGGACUCUGUGGCCAUAAAAAGUACAGGACUUCACCAUCUCAAGACAGCUGUCUUAACAGACACUGUCUUGCUGUCACUCGUGAUAAGUACCCAACAUCUGCCACCAAAGACUCUGUCCACAUCAAACACUCUGCCUUGUAAGACUGAUAGACUACCCGGGCCAGACAAAGAUAUUCUUUUUGUCUACAUUGCUCUCCCUGGACUGGUUUGCUAACCCUUUUCCCAUUCCUUUUCUCUUGAUGUUAAAUGUUAAUUUGUCGUGGAAUGUUUAAUCUACUUACAACAUUUAUAUAUUGAUCAACUAUACUAUUGUGUGUGUUUUGCAAUAUUGACUGACUUGUGGAGUGGCUUGAGCUCAUGUAUCCAUAGCUCUGACUACUGAGUGAAUGGGAAGUACUAAAGAGAAUUGCUUCCUUGGAAACUCCAUGUAGCUUGUGGCUUUUGUAAUUGAAACAGCAUCAACACAAGUCUGACCUUGUAGAAAGACACAAACAUGCAUGGACCUAGAGAAUAGUCACAGUUCAGGACCCUGAAAUCAUGACCUUCCUGGGAGAGAAUGCCUGCCUUUGGAAAGUAAAUUUUCCAUAACCAGAGAGAAAGAAGAAGGAAAUGGGUAGUUGAUACUGCUUUCUUACCUCCGUGGGUAAUCUUACUUUUCUUAAUGUAUUUUGGGUGGGAAAGUGAAGAUAUGCACAAACUACUUUACCAUGUAUCUUGUACAAAGAGCAUAGUGGAAAGAGCAUAGUGGAAUUUUUAAGGUAGAGAUGAGUAAUCUUUCUCUUUCAUGUUACAGCUAUGUGAUUUAGGGCAACUUAUUUGACAUUUUGAAAGUUACUUUACAUAUUUGUGCAAUGAGGUCAGUAGACUUAUUUAUAGAGGUGCUAUUGAGUAAUAAAUGAUAUUGUAAAUGUAAAAUGUUUAGCACGAUACCAAACCAGACUCAUUAUAAAACAGAAGAAUGAAAUAGUUGCAGAUGAUAAUCUAAGAUGCACUCCUUCCCUCUUCCCUUUGCAUGUUUCUCUUUCCCUAGUAGGUCUUAUCUAGUCUCAUGUCUCCAAGAAUUAUCUAUAUGUCAAAUUUAUCUGCACCUCAGAAUUACCAGGCAAAAAUAAGAAAAUAUAAUGGAAACAAAGAUGAUACAAUCUUAGCUGAAUAGGGAAAUAGGUGAAGAGGAAAAGAAACAUGGACAUAAAAAUUAUAGGGUCUUUAUCAUCUGGAGAAUGGGGUUUGGAAAAGCAGGUUUCUGCACGUGAAAAAUAUAUCAUUUUAAAUUACGAAGCAGGAGUUUCAAAAGGCACAGUUAGUUUGUUUGGAAAAGAGAAAUGUCAUCUUAGGGUAGGAAAAGGAAACAAAUCACUGUAAGUAUAAAAUUGAAGUGGAAAUAUUCUUUGGUAAGGGAGAAUAGUGGUGGAGUGAAAUGGCAGUUUGAAGCCUGGUAGAUUUAAUACUGGUGAUCUCCUGGAAGCUGAUAAACAGUUUAAACUCACAGUGCUCAGCUAAGCCUUGAAGCAUUGGAUGAUACUCUAGUGUGGGGUUAAAGUUUCUUUCCACUUGGCUUACAUGGCUGAGAACCAAUAUCAGUAGGCAGAAACCAGGAUCUGGCCAUAGAACUUUGUGAACUGGCACAGUGCAUUUAUGAGGUAGCAUACGGAAGCAGUGUUGUAAGCCUUGUGCAGAUGACUGGCCAAGUAGGGUGAUCUUACUUGAGGAGAAUCUAUAGAUUAUAGUAAUUUGGCACAGUAGUUUAACCUGAUUAUAUACUUGUUUUAUCAGGAGUAAAGACAUUUUUUUGUAUCACUUGACUUCUAGUAAAACAGAUGUAAUUUCUAAAGCACAACAGAGAAAUAUGGCAGAUUGUCACAUACUUUUUAUUUCUUGUGAUCUUAGGGUGAUAUAAAAUUUAAAAUGUAGGUAACAUAAAAAUGAUUUUUAAGUUUUUCUUAAUAAAUUUUACAAACUAUAGUUUCUGUGUAACUAUAUUUCAUACUUCAUUUUUCAUUUCUACAAUCUUUC